rnacentral:hammerhead_ribozyme from 1 species
GCACUGCUUAGGAGUCCCACAAUAGGACGAAACGGGUGUCCAGUGC